AACGAACGCUGGCGGCAGGCCUAACACAUGCAAGUCGAACGGCAGCGGGGACUUCGGUCCGCCGGCGAGUGGCGAACGGGUGAGUAAUGUAUCGGAACGUACCAUUCAGUGGGGGAUAACUAUCCGAAAGGAUAGCUAAUACCGCAUAUUCUGUGAGCAGGAAAGCAGGGGAUCGCAAGACCUUGCGCUGAUUGAGCGGCCGAUAUCAGAUUAGCUAGUUGGUGAGGUAACGGCUCACCAAGGCUACGAUCUGUAGCGGGUCUGAGAGGAUGAUCCGCCACACUGGGACUGAAACACGGCCCAGACUCCUACGGGAGGCAGCAGUGGGGAAUUUUGGACAAUGGGCGCAAGCCUGAUCCAGCCAUGCCGCGUGAGUGAAGAAGGCCUUCGGGUUGUAAAGCUCUUUCGGCCGGGAAGAAAUCGCAUCAGCUAAUACCUGGUGUGGAUGACGGUACCGGAAUAAGAAGCACCGGCUAACUACGUGCCAGCCGCCGCUGUAAUAC
rnacentral:rRNA from 1 species